CCCCCCCCACCAAGGCUCUGCCACACACACACACACACACACACUGCAUCACACACACACACACACACACACACUGCAUCACACACACACACACACACACUGCACUCAUAUACACACACUGCACUCAUACACACACACUGCACUCAUACACACACUGCAUUUAUGCACACACACUGCAUUCAUACACGCACACUGCACUCAUACACACACACUGCGCACUCAUACCACACUGCAUUUAUGCACACAC